UGAAUGGGGAAACCCACUUGCAUAAGCAAGUAUCCUGUUGUGAAUACAUAGCAACAGGAGGCAAACCGGGGGAACUGAAACAUCUAAGUACCCCGAGGAAGAGAAAUCAACCGAGAUUCCGAAAGUAGCGGCGAGCGAAAUUGGAUUAGCCCUUAAGCUUUUAAUGAGACAGACGAAGGCUCUGGAAAGUGCCGCAGUAAAGGGUGAUAGCCCCGUAGUCGACAUCUCAUAAUCAGUGAAAACGA
rnacentral:rRNA from 2 species